UACGAGUGCUCCAAGCGUUAUCCGGAAUCAUUGGGCGUAAAGGGUGUGUAGGCGGUAGUGUUAGUCUUCUGUGAAAUUCUUCGGCUUAACCGGGGGUCCGCAGGGGAAACGGCACAACUAGAGGAUGCGAGAGGUAAAUGGAACUCAUGGAGUAGGGGUGAAAUCCGUUGAUAUCAUGGGGAACACCGAAAGCGAAGGCAAUUUACUGGCGCACUCCUGACGCUGGAGACACGAAAGCGUAGGUAGCGAAUGGG
rnacentral:rRNA from 1 species